UCUUAAGGCACUAGCCCAGUGUCUAUGAAGCAAGUUACUUUCACAAAGGUUUCUUCUGUCCGUAUAAAGGACCAAAAAAGAACUAAAGAUGAAAGGUUGGCAGCAGGUUUCUGGCUUCUACUCUGCCUGAACAGAUCCGGGGCAGGUGUCCCAGAGUACCUUUGCAGAGUGACUACAGAAUAGUGGAGGAACUGGACUGAGUGAAGAGAACAUGCUGGAGCCCAGCGCCCUCCAUGUGCUGGU